rnacentral:pre_miRNA from 1 species
AAUGUACUCCCUCCGUCCCAAAAUUCUUGUCUUAGAUUUGUCUAGAUACAGAUGUAUCAAGUCACAUUUUAGUAUUAGAUACAUCCGUAUCUAGACAAUACAUCCGUAUCUAGACAAAUCUAAGACAAGAAAUUUGGGACAGAGGGAGUAGUUG